GAUGAACGCUGGCGGCGUGCUUAAUGCAUGCAAGUCGAACGAAAAGACGCCGCGAUGGCCUGUCGGAUGUUAGAGGCGGACGUAAUGGUAACACGCGGACAACGUACUUGUAGGACACGACUAGCAAGGGGAAAUAGUAGCUAAUACGAGAUAUGAUAUUGAACGGCAUACUGUAAUACCGCAAGCCGUUGUUGCGGCCACUUUUAGAUGAAGUGGUUCGUCAUUAGAUAGUUGGUAAGGUAAAGGCUUACCAAGGCAACGAUGCGUAGCAGACCUGAGAGGGUGACCAGCCACACUGGAACUGAGACACGGUCCAGACUCCUACGGGAGGCAGCAGUAGGGAAUCUUCCGCAAUGGGCGAAAGCCUGACGCAGCAACGCCGCGUGAGUGAUGAAGGUCUUCGGGUCGUAAACCUCUGUUAUUCGGAAAGAACAAAUGUGUAAGUAUCUAUGCACGUCUUGACGGUACCUAAUCAGAAAGCAACGGCUAACUACGUG
rnacentral:rRNA from 1 species